GAAGUGAUUGAUCCUACCCUGUCGAGAAAAGCUUCUAGGUAGAGACACAUCGCCCGUACCAAAACCGACACAGGUAGGCGGGGAGAGAAUCCUAAGGUGCGCGGGAAAACCCUCGUUAAGGAACUCGGCAAAAUGCCUCCGUAACUUCGGGAAAAGGAGGACUCAUGUAGUGUGAAGAGCAGAAGCGUUUGGAGCAUGAAUGAGUGGCACAAGAGAGGCGCAAGCGACUGUUUACCACAAACACAGGUGCCUGCUAAAGCGAAAGCUGAUGUAUAGGUGCUGACACCUGCCCGGUGCUGGAAGGUUAAGAGGAGGGGUUAGACUUCGGUCGAAGCUCUGAAUUGAAGCCCCAGUAAACUGCGGCCGUAACGAUAACGGUCCUAAGGUAGCGAAAUUCCUUGUCGGGUAAGUUCCGACCCGCACGAAAGGUGUAACGACUUGCGCACUGUCUCAACGAGGGACCCGGUGAAAUUGAAGUACCUGUGAAGAUGCAGGUUACCCGCGACUAGACAGAAAGACCCCAUGGAGCUUUACUGCAACCUAAGAUUGAACUUAGUUAAUGAAUGUACAGGAUAGGUGGGAGACGUAGAACCUAGGACGCUAGUUUUAGGGGAGUCGCUGUUGGGAUACCACCCUUUCAUUAAUUGAUUUCUAACGGGCCGAGUAACGACCGGCCGGACAGUCUUAGGCGGGCAGUUUGACUGGGGCGGUCGCCUCCAAAAGAGUAACGGAGGCGCCCAAAGGUUCCCUCAGAGCGGACGGAAAUCGCUCGAAGAGUGUAAAGGCAGAAGGGAGCUUGACUGCGAGACGGACAGGUCGAGCAGGGACGAAAGUCGGGCUUAGUGAUCCGGUGGUGCCGAGUGGAAGGGCCAUCGCUCAACGGAUAAAAGCUACCCUGGGGAUAACAGGCUAAUCUCUCCCAAGAGUCCAUAUCGACGGGGAGGUUUGGCACCUCGAUGUCGGCUCAUCACAUCCUGGGGCUGAAGUAGGUCCCAAGGGUUCGGCUGUUCGCCGAUUAAAGUGGUACGUGAGCUGGGUUCAGAACGUCGUGAGACAGUUCGGUCCCUAUCCAUCGCGGGCGCAAGAAACUUGAAGGGGGCUGCUCCUAGUACGAGAGGACCGGAGUGGACGAACCGCUGGUGUACCAAUUAUCCUGCCAAGGGUACAGUUGGGUAGCUACGUUCGGGACGGAUAAACGCUGAAAGCAUCUAAGCGUGAAACCAGCCUUGAGAUGAGGUUUCUCAUAGCGUAAGCUAGUAAGAUCCCAUGUAGACGACAUGGUAGAUAGGCCAGGUGUGGAAGAGCCGUGAGGUUUGGAGCUGACUGGUACUAAUCGAUCGAGGGCUUUACC
rnacentral:rRNA from 1 species